CGUGACUGCCUCCCCGGCGGUGUUUUGAAAGUGGAAGCCGGGCGCCGCCCUCCAGCACCUGCACCUCCCGCCCGGCAACGGCCGCCUGAAGCACGAAGUGCGUGCGACCGCAGCUCAGCAGGUCACGCAACCCCAGGCCGCCGCGCCGCCUGCGUGCCUGCAGCCCGCCGGCCCCGCCCCCGCCGCCUGCUUCCGCCGCUUUUGUGCACGCUCCGGCUUCCUAGUGCGCCCAGAGCCUGCCUCGCGUGCCGACCCCGCCGCGUAAUCCGGCGAGGAAUCCAUAUUCCCUCCGGCCCCCGACGCCCUCCGUCGACUUUAGUUCGAGCAGACUCAUUUGGAAGCAGUGCAUUUUUAUCAGAGGGACUGAAAAGCCUUUCGAGAAUCAGUCAAGAAAAAGGAAUGUGCAUGAGAGUCACGGUGAGUAGCACUUCUCAUCAAACUAGCUGCCCAGGGGUGUUAAAGUGCUUUCUAAAAAGGGAACUAACAGGGCUGCUCACCAUUUACUGUUUUCUAAGAGCCUUAGCUAAAUUAAUCAUAGCACACACCAGCCCUGUAAGGUAAAAUGAUUCCUGGUGUUUUGAAAGCAAUCAGCGAUCUACAAAAAGGGAGGUAAUGUCCCCCAGAACCAAGAUUAAAACUCCGACGUUGAGGGAAUCUCCAUUCCCUUCCUGUCAUCAAAGGCCAGCUUGUUUGUGUCCAAGCAGGGUCUUGGGUGAGCCAAGCUCUGUUAAAGUGGCCACAGGAAUGAGAGGCCACCACACAAGUGAGGAUACUGGAGACAGUCCGUCUUCUGGGGCUGUGUGAAUGCAAGUUUAGUCGUGGGGGCUGUCACAUUAUAAGUGGACAGGUGUG
rnacentral:lncRNA from 1 species